UACUAGUACCCUAUGGGUGUACCAGCGAACACCACAGGGGGUACAUGGGAAGCCUCUUAGACAAUUGAAAAAAAGUAGUGCUAUAUAAUAAUCAGCGGGUGAUUCAGGCAUCUCUAUCGACAGUGCCAACAAAUCAGCAGCAGCAGCAG